GAUGAACGCUAGCUACAGGCUUAGCACAUGCAAGUCGAGGGGAAACGAUAUUGGAAGCUUGCUUCCGAUAGGCGUCGACCGGCGCACGGGUGAGUAACGCGUAUCCAACCUGCCCACCACUUGGGAAUAACCUUGCGAAAGUAAGACUAAUACCCAAUGAUAUCUCUAGAAGACAUCUGAAGGAGAUUAAAGAUUUAUCGGUGAUGGAUGGGGAUGCGUCUGAUUAGCUUGUUGGCGGGGUAACGGCCCACCAAGGCGACGAUCAGUAGGGGUUCUGCGAGGAAGGUCCCCCACAUUGGAACUGAGACACGGUCCAAACUCCUACGGGAGGCAGCAGUGAGGAAUAUUGGUCAAUGGGCGAGAGCCUGAACCAGCCAAGUAGCGUGCAGGAUGACGGCCCUAUGGGUUGUAAACUGCUUUUAUAAGGGAAUAAAGUGAGUCUCGUGAGACUUUUUGCAUGUACCUUAUGAAUAAGGACCGGCUAAUUCCGUGCCAGCAGCCGCAGUAA
rnacentral:rRNA from 1 species